AAGCUAGGGGUGCCCGAACGGGCUGAGAGAGACCCUUGAACCUGAACCGGGUUAUGCCGGCGUAGGAAAGCAAGCA
rnacentral:ncRNA from 1 species